GAAGUUGUAUAUAAAGGUGAUAAUUUCACGCACAUUGGAAGCCCGCAUACAGUGUACUAGAAUUAACCGUUUAGAUGUUGCUCUUUCGACACUCUUUUUUUAGACCUUAACUGUUUUCAAUCUUCAUGUCUAUUUAGGCAACAGGACGGGGUAAGAAAGUUAUAACCAAUCGGUGGAUUUGUAAGCACCGGGAUUUUCUCACUUCUCUUGACAUUCGAUUGAAGACAAUAACGCUAGAACGAUAUGUAGCCAACCAUGCAAACACUAUGUGGCACCCCGGCUCAGAGAAAACCAGAACGCCCCGUAUUCCAGCCGAGAGAUCGAGGAGAAGUCUUCUGGAAUACGGAACUGCUUAGCAUAGAACAAACCAGCUUUCUAUUAUUACACGAAUAUGAUUACAAGGUCUCCGAUAUUACAAUGAAUAACAUCGGCACAGCGACACUACGCCAUCCUCAGUUGCUCUAUGCAAGCAGUAGAACAACUCGAAGCAGCGGAAUAACUCUGGCAACGAUAGUGGUGAACUCCACUCAGCAGGGACUCUGGCUGGAACGCUUAUCCUAGCUCACAAACAAAGAAUCCACGGCAAACAAGCAUGCAAUCCAGGCACGACCUGCAAGCUGGCAUGACACGCCAGGUCAGUACAUUGAAUGUAAUUGCAAGCUCACAAAUAACCAGAAGCAUUCAAGACAAACAACAGCAUGGCAAUUACAGAUUAAUCAGGGAUUAUCAUGAGGUCAUCAGGAUAACAUGGCAUGAACACCAUGAACAAAAUACUGCUAGGACAAUAUGAGCAUGGCAUGAACAUAAAAAUCUGAUGAUACUAGCAUGCAACAUGAAGACACUACAUGCACCAUUUAUUCUGCUCGGGUUACCUCAUAUCACAUGCAUCACUUACCAACCUCGGACAUCACACGAUCAUCUCAGGAUCAAAUCAAGCUUGGUAUAAACAAUAUCGUAGUAAUCAUUAAAUGACCACAAGGAGCUUGAUCUUUACCCACGAUUCUCGCACAAUAUCACGAAUAUCCAACAACUCGGUAUCCUCGAUACCACGGUGAUCAUUCCGGCGAUCACAACCAUGACCAACACUUGGUCUCAAACGGUGAUCUUUCCGGCGAUCACAACCAACUUAUCUCAUCGUCGAACCGGGGUUGUCAUUAAUCAAGUUUAAUACUGUUGACUCACGGUGGGACCGACAUGAACUGGGCCCUUAUCCGCGGGCGCGGCUAUCGAUAGAUUUAAUAUACACUCUGCAGAGGUUAGUACACUAUACCCACACUACGGAACCCAUGGCCUCGCACUCCCAUUCGGGUGGACCAACGCCGUUCCGACAAAACCGAUCUACUGCCAUGACGCUCUCCCGGCCACUCCGACUCACUCCCCAUUGGGCUAGUCCUGGGUGGCCCCGUGUCUACCAAAGACACAACAACCACCAUCGUGGUCCGUCCCAACAGGGACAAAAGCGCUUAUCAUCCAAUCUACGGGCACACAAGGUUAUGUCCGCCUACCUGAUCAGGGUAAGCACGCCCAUAACCUUCCCUAGUUGGAGGCACCGGCGAGAGGCACGACAAUAGACCCAGUUAGGACCUCCCCAUAAGGUAAGCGUGGUUGCACUGGUUAGUUUCGAUAUGGUGGCACCAUGACUCAGCCAACAGUUGUUCAAGUUUAAUUUAAUCCGGUUAAACUUGAAUGCAAUAUGCUGAGCCAUGAUAAAAUAACAUGAUGCAUUUACAAAGCAGGAGCAUGAUAUCAACAUAAUCACGGGAUGCAACAUAACUAUCCACCACAUCAACUACGAAUAAUCUCCAACUGAACAUGGCAUAAUGACGAGCAUAAAUAUUACAAGUGCAACACUACUCAUAGUAUAACAUGACCUCUAGCAUCAACCAUAAAUACCAUGCAAGAACAUAACAACAAUGCAAGCAUUUAACCAACGGGAUGCAAUGAAACAUGUAUAACAACGGUACUCGGGACAGACGGCAGCUAUGCACCGAAGACCAUCACCAACAUCAACAGGUACUACUAGCAAGCAUAAGCAUAUGAUAGGAAUACUAGCAACUAGCAGGGCAUGAUAACCACGUGCAUAACAACAUAGCAAGCAAGCAAGUAAUAACCCAGAAGCAUUACCGAAACAACGAUAACCAUAUUUUAAACAAGCAAUCUUUUAAUAAAUAUUCAAGUUGAAAACCAUGGCUACUACAUGACUAUCAUGCAAGUGGGUAUUGUGGCUUGCCUGGGGGUGAAGAAGGCACCGGGGAGAACUGCGGUGAAGCCGCGGAAAGAUUUGCCGGAAACAGUUCUCUCUCGGAGGGGCUGUUUACGUGCAAGGGCAAAAAGGUCAUUUUCACAGUGUCAACCCAUAGUGAAAAUGAAAUCAACAUAACGGGCUCAACGAAACGAAGACGUGGGCUUUGGUUUCACCUUAAUCGGAGUCUCGAGCAAAAAGAUAUGAUAGUUUUUCUGCCAGGGACCUAUCUGAGAAAAGUUUUCUGCAAACAAGCCCCUGACUGAGAAAACUGAAAACGCAUUCGGCCAAAUACGCUUUCUGCCAAAGAAAACGCACUUUCAGCCGAAGUAGAUAGGGAACACGCUUUCGGGCAAGGAAAACGUAUUUCGGACAGAGGUCACUGGAUUACGCUUCCACUUAUGGAAAACGGAAACACCGGAAAUACGUUUCCACUUACCAAGUCAGCAGAGGCGGGGCCGGGGCUAGUUUCGCUGACGUGCGGGUCCCAUGAGGUGGGGCCCGUCACUUAUCCACGCUGGCCGCCCGGGUCAACGCAUGCUGAGGCGGGGCCGGGCCAGAGUGGCUGCAAGGUGGGAUUGGGGAAAGGAGGGGGCCCGGCUGGCCUCGUCUCCAUCUCCUACCUCGCGCGUGCCCGACGGAGAAGAGCAGGGGCGCGGCUCCGGCGAGGGUUGCCAGCAGCUCCGGCCACCGUUCAAGGCGCCGAGGAUACCGGCAGGUUCGGGACGACGAGGCGGCUCCGUUCCAGGGUAGCGCGGUCGCCGGGGACAUCGAGGUCGAGGAGGACAGGAGCCAUGGCGGAGGGAAGCUACGUGUGGAGAUGGGCUCAAGGCCAUAGUGCCUCCGGCGAGGGUGAGAGGGCAUGGGGAGGAUCUCCGGAGUGAAGGGAUCUCACUGGUGGUGGCUAGCGGCAGGGAGGAGGUGCGGACCGCCGGAAUCGAAGAGGGGCAGAGGCG
rnacentral:lncRNA from 1 species